UUACUUACCUGGUGGGGGAGACACCACGAUCAGGCAGGUGGUCUUCCCAGGGAGAGGCUCAUUCCCUGCACCCCGGGUGUGCCGACCUCUACAAUUUCCCCAAAUGCAGGAAACUCGACUGCAUAAUUUGUGGUAGUGGGGGACUGCGUUCCCUGA
rfam:Tauraco erythrolophus contig29124, whole genome shotgun sequence.